rnacentral:pre_miRNA from 1 species
GGUGGGGAGGGUGGUCCCUCAGCCUGGAUUGCAAGAGGGUGCAGGCCAGGCUGAGGGAUCCCACCAGUGCAGG